GAUGAAGAACGCAGCGAAAUGCGAUAAGUAAUGCGAAUUGCAGAAUUCAGUGAGUCAUCGAAUCUUUGAACGCACAUUGCGCCCUGUGGUAUUCCGCAGGGCAUGCCUGUUCGAGCGUCAUUUCAACCCUCAAGCCCCGCUUGGUGUUGGGCCCCGCCCGCCGUGGCCGGCCCUAAAGACAGUGGCGGCGCCGCCUGGCCCUCAGCGUAGUACAGCUCUCGCUCCAGGGUCCGGCGGCCGCCUGCCAGAACCCCCCAACUCUGUGGUUGACCUCGGAUCAGGUAGGGAUACCCGCUGAACUUAAGAAUAUCAAUAAGCGGAGGA
rnacentral:misc_RNA from 1 species